rnacentral:tRNA from 12 species
GCUAGCUCAGUUGGUUAGAGCGUUGGAUUCAUAACCCAGAGGUCACCAGUUCGAUCCU